rnacentral:rRNA from 1 species
AACGUCCGUCGUGAAGAGGGAAACAACCCAGACCGCCAGCUAAGGUCCCAAAGUCAUGGUUAAGUGGGAAACGAUGUGGGAAGGCCCAGACAGCCAGGAUGUUGGCUUAGAAGCAGCCAUCAUUUAAAGAAAGCGUAAUAGCUCACUGGUCGAGUCGGCCUGCGCGGAAGAUGUAACGGGGCUAAACCAUGCACCGAAGCUGCGGCAGCGAACGUAUCACUUAAAGCGAUUCAGCGGGUUACGAUUGACGGAGCGAAGCGACGUCAAAGCGUAUACAAAGUCGAGUCGGUUUAAGGAUACGUUCGUUGGGUAGGGGAGCGUUCUGUAAGCCCGUGAAGGUGGCCUGUGAGGGUUGCUGGAGGUAUCAGAAGUGCGAAUGCUGACAUAAGUAACGAUAAAGCGGGUGAAAAGCCCGCUCGCCGGAAGACCAAGGGUUCCUGUCCAACGUUAAUCGGGGCAGGGUGAGUCGACCCCUAAGGCGAGGCCGAAAGGCGUAGUCGAUGGGAAACGGGUUAAUAUUCCCGUACUUGGUGUUACUGCGAAGGGGGGACGGAGAAGGCUAUGUUGGCCGGGCGACGGUUGUCCCGGUUUAAGCGUGUAGGUGUGUGUUCCAGGUAAAUCCGGUUCACUUUAACACUGAGGCGUGACGACGAGGCACUACGGUGCUGAAGCAACAAAUGCCCUGCUUCCAGGAAAAGCCUCUAAGCAUCAGGUAACAUCAAAUCGUACCCCAAACCGACACAGGUGGUCAGGUAGAGAAUACCAAGGCGCUUGAGAGAACUCGGGUGAAGGAACUAGGCAAAAUGGUGCCGUAACUUCGGGAGAAGGCACGCUGACACGUAGGUGAAGUGAUUUACUCAUGGAGCUGAAGUCAGUCGAAGAUACCAGCUGGCUGCAACUGUUUAUUAAAAACACAGCACUGUGCAAACACGAAAGUGGACGUAUACGGUGUGACGCCUGCCGGGUGCCGGAAGGUUAAUUGAUGGGGUCAGCGCGAGCGAAGCUCGUGAUCGAAGGCGCGGUAAGCGGCGGGCGUAACUAUAGCGGUCCUAGGGUAGCGAAAUUCCUUGUCGGGUAAGUUCCG